rnacentral:rRNA from 1 species
UGGGGCUGAAGCAGGUCCCAAGGGUAUGGCUGUUCGCCAUUUAAAGAGGUACGCGAGCUGGGUUUAGAACGUCGUGAGACAGUUCGGUCCCUAUCUACCGUGGGCGCUGGAAAUUUGAGAGGAUCUGCUCCUAGUACGAGAGGACCAGAGUGGACGAACCUCUGGUGUACCGGUUGUGACGCCAGUCGCAUCGCCGGGUAGCUAUGUUCGGAAGGGAUAACCGCUGAAAGCAUCUAAGCGGGAAGCCUACCUCAAGAUAAGAUUUCCCUGUGACUUUAUGUCACCUAAAGAGCCGUUGAAGACUACGACGUUGAUAGGUUGGAUGUGGAAGUGUAGCGAUACAUGAAGCUGACCAAUACUAAUUGCUCGUGAGGCUUGACUAUACAACACCCA